GAGCACCAAUUAUUAUCUUUAUCCGUGUGUCAAUGUAUACCCACCAGGAGGAGGUUCACGAAGCACAUGCUUGUCUUCUUCAGGAUAUUUGAUUUAGAUAUUAAUUUGGUAGUCAAUAAAAAGGGUAUUACCUUCUUCCAUGUCCCUUGAUUAGUAAGAAAAUAACACAACAUUAUUGUCUUUGUGUAUUGAUUUUGGCACUAAGUGCCUCUGGUGACCUAUUUGCUUCAUUUUUCUGACUUGCUAUUAUUUUUAAAUAUGUACAGGAAGACU
rnacentral:lncRNA from 1 species